rnacentral:rRNA from 2 species
UGGGGAAUAUUGGGCAAUGGGCGCAAGCCUGACCCAGCAACGCCGCGUGAAGGAAGAAGGCUUUCGGGUUGUAAACUUCUUUUAUAAGGGACGAACACAAUGACGGUACCUUAUGAAUAAGCCACGGCUAACUACGUGCCAGCAGCCGCGGUAAUACGUAGGUGGCAAGCGUUAUCCGGAUUUACUGGGUGUAAAGGGCGUGUAGGCGGGAAAGCAAGUCAGAUGUGAAAACUAUGGGCUCAACCCAUAGCCUGCAUUUGAAACUGCUUUUCUUGAGUGUUGGAGAGGCAGGCGGAAUUCCGUGUGUAGCGGUGAAAUGCGUAGAUAUACGGAGGAACACCAGUGGCGAAGGCGGCCUGCUGGACAAUAACUGACGCUGAGGCGCGAAAGCGUGGGGAGCAAACAGG